UAGGAAUUGGCGGGGGAGCACCACAACGGGUGGAGCCUGCGGUUUAAUCGGACUCAACGCCGGAAAUCUCACCGGAUAAGACAGCUGUAUGAUAGUCGGGAUGAAGACUCUACUUGACUAGCUGAGAGGAGGUGCAUGGCCGUCGUCAGUUCGUACUGUGAAGCAUCCUGUUUAGUCAGGCAACGAGCGAGACCCACGCGAGCAGUUGCCAGCUUGACCUUCGGGUUGAUGGGGACACUGCUCGGACCGCCUCUGCUAAAGGGGAGGAAGGAAUGGGCAACGGUAGGACAGCAUGCCCCGAAUUAUCCGGGCUACACGCGGGCUACAAUGGACAGGACAAUGGGUUUCGACACCGAGAGGUGAGGAUAAUCUCCUAAACCUGUCCGAAGUUCGGAUUGCGGGUUGUAACUCACCCGCAUGAAGCUGGAAUCCGUAGUAAUCGCGUUUCAACAUAGCGCGGUGAAUAUGUCCCUGCUCCUUGCACACACCGCCCGUC
rnacentral:rRNA from 1 species